CUUCCAGAUACAGCCAAAAUCUCCUCCAGGAAUUUCAUGUGAGUCAACAUUUGAACCACUAAUAACUUUGAUUAUAAGAACUGGAGACCAUACUUUAGCAGUUUGCUAAAACGCCGGCAUACAUGUGGUCGGCACUCCCAACGGACUAUAAUCAAGAGUAUUACCUAGACGGCCUUUAAGGAAUCAUGCUUAAUUAAUUUUAAGGCAGUGUUUACAAAAACACUAUUAUUCUAUAGAUUUUAUAUCCAAAAAGAAUUACCACUCCGGCUAGGAGUCUGAAUAUAGGAAUUCCACCUACUAAUUCCUGAUAAAGGAGACUGUGAUUAAUUCCCAUUUGAGGUUACGUUCUGCCAUAUAAAUCCAUCGAGAGUGAAUUAGCCUUUUUUCUUAUAUGCGUUACCCCUGAUGAAGUCGAUAGGACGAAACGCGUUGGGUUUGUCAGUCAGAAAAUCGCACCCUAGUUUGUGAAGAUACUCCCUUCGAGCUCGCACCUUGAAAAAGGUGAGGGAGUAUCUAGAAUCCAUCUUACAAACAUGUUGGUUGUGGCUGUGUUUUAUUGAUAUAAUUUUAUA